UUUCCCGUCGUCUAACGGUCAGGACCGCGGCCCUUCAAGCCGCGUAUGCCGGUUCGAGUCCGGCCGGGAAUGCCA
rnacentral:tRNA from 1 species